UAUAGGGAAUAGGGUGCCAUUUGAGAUCCAUUUCUAUCCUCAGUACCAGAGACCCAGUUCUAUCCUCAGUACCAGAGACCCAGUUCUAUCCUCAGUACCAGAGACCCAGUUCUAUCCUCAG